CUAAAAUACAUUGCGGGCCAGGAGCUGGCUCCAGAAAGAGAUGUUCAAAGAUAAAACUGAGUUUCUUCAGGAUGUAUUGUGUUCUCUGGCAUUGGCAGCAUCUAAUCUUGAUGUGGAAGACACUUGGGGAGCCCUUCAACGGCUAUUUCAGUCUCAAGCUUAAUUUCACUCCUCAGCACUGGUAUUUUACAGCUGUUGCAGAGUAAGAAGUGUCAACUUCAUUGGACACGAGGGAGAAAUCUCAAACAGAGCGGGAAGCAAUUAUGUAUUCAAGGUCAGGCAGAGCAAGAAGCAUGCAUCAGAGCUCCCACCUAAAAGAACCAGCCAUUAGUCACAGCGAGUCACAGCACAAUUGUCCACUCUGCAAAACCUGACUUAAUUGGAAUCAACAAGGCCAGAACAAACUUCUGAAUGUGUGCCAGCCUCUUUUCAUGAAGGGACUGUGCAGUCAAUUAAAUUGGAGCUUGAAUAAAUCAUUUUUUUUUGGAA